GAUGGGCAUGCGUUCCAUUAGCUUGUUGGUGAGGUAACGGCUCACCAAGGCUACGAUGGAUAGGGGAACUGAGAGGUUUAUCCCCCACACUGGAACUGAGACACGGUCCAGACUCCUACGGGAGGCAGCAGUGAGGAAUAUUGGUCAAUGGAGGCAACUCUGAACCAGCCAAGUCGCGUGAAGGAUGAAGGUCUUAUGGAUUGUAAACUUCUUUUGCAAGGGAAUAAAGUGGGGGACGUGUCCUCCUUUGCAUGUACCUUGCGAAUAAGGAUCGGCUAACUCCGUGCCAGCAGCCGCGGUAAUACGGAGGAUCCGAGCGUUAUCCGGAUUUAUUGGGUUUAAAGGGUGCGCAGGCGGGAUGUUAAGUCGGCGGUGAAAUUUUGCAGCUCAACUGUAAAAGUGCCUUCGAUACUGGCUUUCUUGAGUGUGGAUGAAGUAGGCGGAAUUUGUGGUGUAGCGGUGAAAUGCUUAGAUAUCACGAGGAACUCCGAUUGCGCAGGCAGCUUACUAAACCACUACUGACGCUCAUGCACGAAGGCGUGGGGAUCAAACAGGAUUAGAUACCCUGGUAGUCCACGCAGUAAA
rnacentral:rRNA from 1 species